AUUGAUAAAUAGUUUAAAAGCUCUCCGUACUGAGAGUGGCGAUGGCGCCAGCAGUCUUUUUCAUUGAAGGCCACAAUCAUCGUGGCUUAUGCCUUCAGUACGAUGCGCGAGCUCGUUUCAGUGGAAACUAACUAAUUGUUUGUGGAAAGUAUCUCGAAAAUUUAUGCAUAUUUACCUUUUUGAAAAGUGGAACAAGUUGAUAUUCCUUUGAUUUCGUAGGGUAACCCCUUCAAUUGAAAGGAUAUUUUUCUGGAAGAGCAACUGAUGAAUAAAUGGGAUUAGGUACUAACCAGGAAUGAUUCAAUGAAGAUAAGAACAAUUUGACAAUGGAGGACAGUUUUGGAUAAUCUUCAACUGUAACUUUUUCACAUAAACAAAGAAAAUGAGCCAUUUGGGUGCUUUGCGUCUUCGACUUCCAUUCCAACGGCUUCUUCUUUAGAUACAGUCUUUUAAAAUUGGUAGAACCAGUCAGUGGUGGAAUCAUCAUAAUUAAUGGAGAACAUCAGGACCACCAGAACAUCAAAGGACCAGACCAGAGCAAUACAUUCCGUCAAUAUCGGCCCAGUCAGAGCAAGAGGAAGAUCAAGAAAAUUUAGUAGAACCAGUCAGUGAUGGGCAUCUGAGCCAACAAGAGAAAUCAUCAUAAUGAUUGGAGAACAUCAGGACCACCAGGACGUCAAGGGACCAGACCAGAGCAAUCCAUUCCAUCAAUAUGUAAAUGUAAUAUUUAUUUAUUUAUUAAAUUUUUAUCUUCCUUUUUC